rnacentral:misc_RNA from 1 species
UAGACUAGUCUCGAUUCCUCAAGGUUGUAGUAGCUGUAAUAGUAGUUGAAAAACCUCACGUCCCGAGUGGGCUAAGUCCACAGUAAGCUGUAGUCGUGGAAGAUAACUAAUGACUACUAAUUUUGUUCAUUUUAUUGCAAGUUUUUUAGCAUGAGAAGAUACUUAUAUUGUAAAUAGACCUGCUACUUAGUUCCAGUCAGUAGGAACAUG